UGGGGGAUAUUGCACAAUGGGCGAAAGCCUGAUGCAGCGACGCCGCGUGGGGGAUGAAGGCUUUCGGGUUGUAAACCUCUUUCGCUAUCGAACAAGGCCCGCUUAGGGUGGGUUGAGGGUAGGUGGAGAAGAAGCGCCGGCUAACUACGUGCCAGCAGCCGCGGUAAUACGUAGGGCGCGAGCGUUGUCCGGAAUUAUUGGGCGUAAAGGGCUUGUAGGCGGCUUGUUGCGCCUGCUGUGAAAACGCGGGGCUUAACUUCGCGCGUGCAGUGGGUACGGGCAGGCUUGGGUGUGGUAGGGGUGACUGGAAUUCCAGGUGUAGCGGUGGAAUGCGCAGAUAUCUGGAGGAACACCGAUGGCGAAGGCAGGUCACUGGGCCAUUACUGACGCUGAGGAGCGAAAGCAGGGGUAGCGAACAGG
rnacentral:rRNA from 1 species